rnacentral:lncRNA from 1 species
UGGGUUCAGAAACUAGGAUUCACAUUCACCUGCUGCCUCUGGCUUGCUCUUUCAGGUAUAUCUCUGGUCUUUUCCUCUUUUUUUUUGAUCAAAAGUCUCUGCUCUUUUCUUUAUCAUCAUUUCUUGUGAUUCCUUCUGAGAACAGAGCACAAAAGAUAUGAUGCAUUAGCUUUGGUUAUCUAUCAAAUCGUAAAUCGUAUACAGAACUACUAUAAACAGCUCUCAUCAUAUGUUUAUUCUUAGAAGAAGUAAUAGCACCAAACUUUGAUAUAGACUUUUUGAGUAUACAACAAGUCAAAGCAAUUUCAGGAAAAAGCCAAAUUUUCUCUAAGAAUAAUAAGAAUCUAGUGGUCUUUUUUAAUUGACAAGGUUUGAGUACACGACUGCCUUCCAUCACUCUCAUUUCUCUAGAUGGGACCUAUUUUGCAAAUUUAGUCCAAUAUUUUUUCGUUUUCUGAUUAACUGCAUGAAUGGUACCAUUGUGUCACAGGUCAGAGGCCCAAAAAAACAAGCACAGGUGUAUAUCAAAGCGUGUUCUGUCAGAGAAAAACUUACAAAUGAAUAACCAAGGAAGUCAGAACGUUGCAACUUGCAAGCCCGUCACUACAUUUGUCCACACUGACACCGACACUUUCAGAGAAGUCGUGCAGCGCUUGACAGGUCCAUCAGAGAGCAAUGCUGCAGCAAUACCAGAAGC